GCAAGGGCGGCCCGGUAGUCCAGUGGUUAGCACGUCGGCUUCACAGUGCAGAGGUACCGGGUUCGAUUCCAGCUCCGGCCUCCCUGUGUGGAGUUUGCAUGUUCUCCCCGGGCCUGCGUGGGUUUUCCCCGGGUGCUCCGGUUUCCUCCCACAUUCCAAAAACAUGCGUGGCAGGCUGAUUGAACACUCUAAAUUGUCCCUAGGUGUGAGUGUGAGCGUGGAUGGUUGUUCGUCUCUGUGUGCCCUGUGAUUGGCUGGCAACCGAUUCAGGGUGUCCCCCGCCUACUGCCCGGAGACAGCUGGGAUAGGCUCCAGCACCCCCCGCGACCCUAGUGAGGAUCAAGCGGUUCGGAAGAUGAAUGAAUGAAUG